GGCCAUUGUUAUAUUAUUGUUCGUUUCUGUGUGUGUUACAUUUUAACGUUGCGUCGUUUGUUAUCUCUUAUUUUUUAGUGUAAAUUCACAUUGCGAUAAGACGUGUCACGGUACUUGUCUAUCCCAAAUUCAUGUAUUUGGUUUUGAUGUUAUAUUUGUUAUUCUCGUGGGAUUUUGUCUGAUGCUUGGUCCGUUUCUGUGUGUGUUACAUUUCAGUGUUGUGUCGUUGUUCUCCUCUUAUAUUUAAUGCGUUUCCCUCGGUUUUAGUUUGUUACCCUGAUUUUGUUUUUU
rnacentral:lncRNA from 1 species